UCCACACUACUAUUUGCUUGGACGCAAAGCCUGCUCUCAUCUUUCUCUCUUUUGGUGUUCUUUUAUAUCUGUGAUAUAAUGACAUUGACAAUGUCAUGUUAAAGUCAUUUUUGUUUUAAUUCAUAGAUUACAUUUGAAAACAGCACACCUGUUACCAUAGCUGUGGCCGAGUGCAGUUGUGUUGCUGGGAAAGCACUCUGCAAUCACAACGUUGCUCUUCUUUUCCAAACGGCACAUUACUCCACACUAAAUCUGAAGGCAGUGCCGCCUGUGCUGAGCUGCACAGAAACUGCACAGUGCUGGCACAAACCAAGAACUAAGGGUGUAAAACCAGGCAGAGUUGGUGAGAUGACGGUACUUUCUACCAAACCAAAAACCAGACAGUACACAGUUGCUGAUGGUGUGAGGAGUAAGCGAUACAAAGCAGUUCGUGGGGACCUGCUGGACCCAGAUGUCUUAGAAGUGGCUGAGGCAUACAAGGAUUUUGCUGCAGACAUCGUGCCACUGAUCACCACCAUGGAUAUAAACAAGGAUGUUCCGUUGGUGGAUUCUGUGUUUGGCCCUGUACAGUA